rnacentral:lncRNA from 1 species
AUCACCUGAGGUUGGGAGUUCGAGAUCAGCCUGGCCAAUAUGGUGAAACCCCAUCUCUACUAAAAAUACAAAAAUUAGCUGGGUGUAGUGGCAGAUGCCUGUAAUCCCAGCUAGUUGGGAGGCUGAGGCAGGAGAAUCACUUGAACCAGGGAGGCAGAGGUUGCAGUGAGCCAAGAUCGUGCCACUGCACUCCACCUUGGGUGACAGAGAGAGACUCCAUCUCAAAAAAAAAAAAAGAAAAAAUGUUGUUUAAUGUUUAUACACUGCUGGUGGGAAUGUAAAUUAGUUCAGCCACUGUGGAAAGCAGUUUAGCGAUUUCUCAAAGAACUUAAAACAGAACUACCAUUCUACCUAGCAACCCCAUUAGUGGGUAUAUACCCAAAGGAAUAUAAGUCAUUCUGCCAUAAAGACACAUGCACACAUAUGUUCAUUGCAGCACUAUUCACAAUAGCAAAGACAUGGAAUCAACCUAAAUAUCAAUCAACAGUAGACUGGAUAAAGAAUAUAUUGUACAUAUACACCAUGAAAUACUAUGCAGCCAUAAAAAUGAAUGAGAUCAUGUCUUUUGCAGCAACAAAAGGUGGAGCUGGAGGCCAUUAUCCUGAGUGAACUAACACAGGAACAGAAAACCAAAUACUAUAUAUUCUUACUUAUAAGAGGGAGCUAGACAUUGAGUACACAUGAACACAAUGAAAGGAACAAUAGACACUGGGGACUGUUUGAGGGUAGAGGAUAAGAGGAGGGUGAGUGUCAAAAAACUACCUAUGGAGUACUAUGCUUAUUACCUGGGUGACAAAAUAAUCUGUAAACCAAAUCUUCAUGACAUGCAACUUACCUAUAUAACAAACCCGUACAUGUACCCCUGAACCUAAAAUAAAAGUUUUUUAAAUUUUCAAAUUAAUG